rnacentral:lncRNA from 13 species
CGGGUGUGUCCCAGGGAUAAAUACAUCUUUCCCUCAUUCAUUGAGGAGACUCUCUCCAUGCAGACAAACCUGUAUUUUUGUUUGUGACAUUUUGUUGCGUGUUUAUUUUGGCACCUCAACACCCCUCAUUACCACCAUCUAUGCACACAACCACUCACACUGCUUACUACACACAUCAUUGUUAAUUGUAUAUAGUUUACUUUGGUUAAUAAAUAUAUUUUUGUUAUUCCUUGAUCUCUGUGUUGCCUCCCUUUUUGUUACGGGCUACGAGCCGGUUCGUGACAGCACAGAUGAAUUUACUAUUAUGUAGUCACAUGACACACUUAUGCGCGAGCACACGUACAUAUAUGCACACAUACAAAAACACACACUCUUACCCACCACGUCCUCUGUAUUUUGUGUCUUUCCUGUCACAUAAACACAUUUGUGAAUAAUGAGACAAUUUGUCACUUGUUUGGGUUAAUGUAGGCAAGAUAAAUUAUCACAAUAACACGUAAUGCCACCUGUCAGUCUGGGUGUCCCUGUCAUUUGUUACCGUGGCUCUAGACAGCCAUUUGCACAACGCUAAUGAUGAUAUUGUGAUUCAGGGAGGGAUUGAGAGACUGUUCCCAGAACACCUAAUGACACCCAGAUGAGUGACAGGAUGGUUACUUGAACGUUUGACCUCCUACGGACUACUUUAUUACCAUGUGAUUGGCUGGGUUUUAAUACAUGCUCAUGUUUAUGUUGAAUUCUACUGGCCAUUCUCUAAAUCUGUUGAAGGGUCUGUUUGUACAAGAUGGAGUCUGUUUGUACAUGGAGUCUGUUUGUACAUGGAGUCUGUUUGUACAUGAUGGAGUCUGUUUGUACAUGAUGGAGUCUGUUUGUACAUGAUGGAGUCUGUUU